AGCUGGUCCAAAGGUAAUGAGUUUUCUCAAUUGAGUGUUCACCGUCAGUUACAGAUCAAACUUGCUCUACUCUUUCCCCCUUCUCACUACUACACUUGACUAGUCUUAA
ensembl:misc_RNA Y_RNA Y RNA